ensembl:lncRNA
GAAGAAGGAAAGAAGAGUGGAAGAAAGGAAAGAAGUGAACAAGAGUGGCUCUGGAUAAGGACAGUAAAGAGAGAGUGAAGAGGGAAAAUAUUGAAAGAAGGAGAGAAAAUUGAUUGAAGCAGAGAGAUGGAGUUUGAGAGAAAGUAGACAGAGGGAUAGAGAGAAAGAUGGAGAGAAAAAGAAGUAGAGUAUGGAAGGUGUCUCUUAAUAUCCCUAGUUAUACAGUUGAAUGGAGAGGGACAGAGAGAAGAGGAGCCUUGGAACCUUGGCGCAGGUGCAAGCCAGUUUAAUGACCCUAUUAUGAUGUCACAAUGGCCCAAUGUAAGUCAAUGGGAGAAAUUGUAUUAGUUUUUAUUUAAUAUUUUAAAAAGUAUAAAGUUUAGAAAAAUGAAAAAUACAUAGCAUAAGUGUCCUUUACAAGACCUAUGCAGCAAAGUUUGAACAAAGUUUCUAAGUUAAGCGGUUCGAGCUGAAUUAAGCGCAGAAGUUCGGUACAAAGAAUAACUAGAAAAUGCAUUUCCUGAAGGAAAUACCAGUGCAUGAAAUGCAAAAGUUAAGAAAGGAACAAGAAAAGAAAGAAGAGUGAAGAAGCAAAGAAGAAAGGAAAGAAGAGUAAAAGAAGGAAAGAAGAGUGGAAGAAAGGAAAGAAGAGUGGAAGAAGGAAGGAAGAGUGGAAGAAGGAAAGAAGAAAAGAAAGAAGAGUGAAAGAAAGGAAAGAAGAGUGGAAGAAGGAAAGAAGAGUUGAAGAAGAAAAGAAAGAAGAGUGAAGAAAGGAAAGAAGAGUAGAAGAAGGAAAGAAGAAAAGAAAGAAGAGUGAAAGAAGGAAAGAAGAGUGGAAGAAGGAAAGAAGAAAAGAGAAGAGUGAAGAAAGGAAAGAAGAGUAGAAGAAGGAAAGAAGAAAGGAAAGAAGAGUGAAAGAAGGAAAGAAGAAAGGAAGAAGAGUGAGAGAAGGAAAAAAGAUUGGAAGAAGGAAAGAAGAGUGGAAGAAGGAAAGAAGAAAGGAAAGAGAAAACAAAUUAGAGUAUGGAAGGUGUCUCUUAAUAUCCCUAGUUAUACAGUUGAAUGGAGAGGGACAGAGAGAAGAGGAACCUUGGAACCUUGGCGCAGGUGUCAGUGAAGCACAGGUGCAAGCCAGUUUAAUUACCCUAUUAUGAUGUCAUAAUGGCCCAAUGUAAGUCAAUGGGGACAUUUUUAUUAGUUUUUCUUUAAAAUCUUAAAAAGUUUAAAGUUCAGAAAAAUGAAAAAUACAUAGCACAAGUGUCGUUUACAAGACCUAUGCAACAAAGUUUGAACAAAGUUUCUACGUUAAGCGGUUCGAGCUGAAUUAAGCGCAGAAAAAGGUCAAAAGAAUAAGAAGAAUAAGAAAAGUUUGGAUAACAAUACAGGGCAUUUCAUGCACUGUAAUAAGA